AGAGUUUGAUCAUGGCUCAGAACGAACGCUGGCGGCAUGCCUAACACAUGCAAGUCGAACGAGGUUUCCGCUUCGGUGGGGCCCUAGUGGCGCACGGGUGAGUAACGCGUGGGAACCUGCCCUGUGGUACGGAGCAACUCCGGGAAACUGGAGCUAAUACCGUAUGCGUCCUUUGGGACAAAGAUUCAUCGCCAUGGGAUGGGCCCGCGUAGGAUUAGCUAGUUGGCGGGGUAACGGCCCACCAAGGCAACGAUCCUUAGCUGGUCUGAGAGGAUGAUCAGCCACACUGGGACUGAGACACGGCCCAGACUCCUACGGGAGGCAGCAGUGGGGAAUAUUGGACAAUGGGCGCAAGCCUGAUCCAGCAAUGCCGCGUGAGUGAUGAAGGCCUUCGGGUUGUAAAGCUCUUUCGGCGGGGACGAUAAUGACGGUACCCGCAGAAGGAGCCCCGGCUAACUUCGUGCCAGCAGCCGCGGUAAUACGAAGGGGGCUAGCGUUGC
rnacentral:rRNA from 1 species